UUGACUGUGCUAAGGUAGCAUAAUAAAUUGGCUUUUAAUUGAAGUCGGGAAUGAAAGGGUGUUUGGAGUUAUUCUGUCUUAUUUUUAUUUUUUAAAAAUUACUAAUGAGGUGAAAAUUCCUCAAUGUUUUUUGAUAGACGAGAAGACCCUAAGAAUUAUUACAACUAUUAAAUUGAAUUAAUAAAAGUUUUUGUUGGGGCAACAGCUUUGAAUAACCAAAGUUAAAAUUUAUCAUAAAAAGAUUAUAUUAAAAAGGGAUUUAAUUACCUUAGGGAUAACAGCAUAAUUAUAUUUUAGAUUGUGACCUCGAUGUUGGAUUAAGGCCU
rnacentral:rRNA from 1 species